GUAUAUUUUUUUUUUUACAUUUAAUAAAAUAAAAUUCUUAAUGAUUUCAGCUACAAUACAACAUUCAACACCUUCGCACUCGACUCAUCAUAAUAAAACCUCUAUGCUACUACUCUAAACUUGUAUAAAGAAUCUCAGGCAGCCGUACUUUAUCUUCCUGCAAAAGAUCAGUUUGAGUCGUCGAAUAAUUUAACUGAGCCCCUCUUAGAGAUUUACUAUGAAACCCGAGAACUCUCAUUUGCCCAUUAUCAUCAAGUUGAUAAAGUACGCCUGAUAAGCCGAUACCUGAGGAAUCUGUUUGCAAAUAAUAAGGUGAUGUAAGUCCCUAACACGCAAGCUACGUCAGUACAAUGAAGCAGAGGAAGAGAAUUUGAUUUAUUUAGAUACUAGUAUAUAGAAAUAUUUUAUUUUAUAUUUAAUUAACUCCAAAUCAAAUCAGUUCACAUUCCAGUUUUCUUACGGCAGCAAAAAUGUAGCCAAAGAGGCUACUUUAUGUAACAAACUAUUCAUAUAUUUAAUCCUGGUCAUUCCGGUACCAAAAAUGUACCUUAACCCAAUAUUAGCUAAUCUACUUUAAUAAAACUCAUCCAGAAUUAAUUAUAAAUAAAUAAAAAUAAAUAAAUUUGGCCAUGUGAUCGUCUAGUGAAAUUAAUACGUUGUGAACCUUAGUACCCUUCGUCUUUUAUGUGCAGACUGAUUAGAUUUGGAUUUAAAAUACUACCCCUAAA